AUGCUGCCGUCUGGUGUCAAGUUCGAUCCCACGGAUCAGGAGCUGAUCGAGCACCUUGAGGCCAAAGUGAGUGCUGACAGCGCGAGAUUUCAGUCUCUCAUCGAUUUGUUCAUACCAACCAUCGACAGCGAGCACGGCAUAUGCUACACCCAACCUGAGAAACUUCCAGGUAUCACACUGAGUGGCCUAAGGAAGCAUUUCUUCCAGCACAAUUCCAGGGCGUUCAAAAGGGGCACGUGGACGCGUCGCAAGAUACAGUCGGAGUGCGGCAUGCAUGCGAUGUGGCACAAGACCGGCAAUACCUUGCCGGUGAUGGUCAACGGCCGGCAGACGGGCAACAAAAAAGGUUCUGGUGCUGCACACCAACAAGAACUUCGACCAGCAGAGGACCAACUGGGUGAUGCACGAGUACCACCUCGGGGACCUAGAGCAAGAGAAGGAGCGGGAGCUGGUCCUCUGCAAGAUUUUCUACCAGACGAACACUAG
rnacentral:rRNA from 1 species